AGUGAACGCUGGCGGUAGGCCUAACACAUGCAAGUCGAACGGCAGCACAGAGGAGCUUGCUCCCUGGGUGGCGAGUGGCGGACGGGUGAGGAAUACAUCGGAAUCUACUCUGUCGUGGGGGAUAACGUAGGGAAACUUACGCUAAUACCGCAUACGACCUACGGGUGAAAGCAGGGGAUCUUCGGACCUUGCGCGAUUGAAUGAGCCGAUGUCGGAUUAGCUAGUUGGCGGGGUAAAGGCCCACCAAGGCGACGAUCCGUAGCUGGUCUGAGAGGAUGAUCAGCCACACUGGAACUGAGACACGGUCCAGACUCCUACGGGAGGCAGCAGUGGGGAAUAUUGGACAAUGGGCGCAAGCCUGAUCCAGCCAUACCGCGUGGGUGAAGAAGGCCUUCGGAUUGUAAAGCCCUUUUGUUGGGAAAGAAAUCCAUCUGGUUAAUACCCGGGUGGGAUGACGGUGCCCAAAGAAUAAGCACCGGCUAACUUCGUGCCAGCCGCCGCCGUAA
rnacentral:rRNA from 1 species